AUUGAACGCUGGCGGCAGGCCUAACACAUGCAAGUCGAGCGAGCGGCGGACGGGUGAGUAAUGUAUGGGGACUGCCCGAUAGAGGGGGAUAACUCCUGGCAACGGUAGCUAAUACCGCAUACUAUCGGAUAACCCAGAUGGGAUUAGCUAGUAGGUGAGGUAAUGGAUCACCGAGGCGACGAUCCCUAGCUGGUCUGAGAGGAUGAUCAGCCACACUGGGACUGAGACAAGGCCCAGACUCCUACGGAGGCAGCAGUGGGGAAUAUUGCACAAGGGGCGAAAGCCUGAUGCAGCCAUGCCGCGUGGAUGAAUAAGGCCUUAGGGUUGUAAAGUACUGUCAGUCGGGAGGCGUUACCGACAGAAGAAGCACCGGCUAACUCCGUGCCAGCAGCCGCGGUAAUUC
rnacentral:rRNA from 1 species